GGCUAGAUAGAGAGGAUUGCUACUUGCUGGGCUUCAUCGCUCACCCCCUUACAGAUUUUUACAGGUCCCAUCGUUGAAAGCUGAGCACUUAUUUGAUACGCUUGGAAUAACUGGAGUUUAGUUUUAGAUGUUAUUAUUUUGUUGAUGGAUUUUGAUAAAACUCUUAGUUUCGAGGAGCUGCGUCUCCAUUAUUUGAAUGUGGUAUUUAUUAG
rnacentral:lncRNA from 1 species